rnacentral:rRNA from 1 species
GAUGAACGCUGGCGGCGUGCCUAAUACAUGCAAGUCGAGCGAACAGACGAGGAGCUUGCUCCUCUGACGUUAGCGUCGGACGGGUGAGUAACACGUGGAUAACCUACCUAUAAGACUGGGAUAACUUCGGGAAACCGGAGCUAAUACCGGAUAAUAUAUUGAACCGCAUGGUUCAAUAGUGAAAGACGGUUUUGCUGUCACUUAUAGAUGGAUCCGCGCCGCAUUAGCUAGUUGGUAAGGUAACGGCUUACCAAGGCAACGAUGCGUAGCCGACCUGAGAGGGUGAUCGGCCACACUGGAACUGAGACACGGUCCAGACUCCUACGGGAGGCAGCAGUAGGGAAUCUUCCGCAAUGGGCGAAAGCCUGACGGAGAAACGCCGCGUGAGUGAUGAAGGUCUUCGGAUCGUAAAACUCUGUUAUUAGGGAAGAACAAAUGUGUAAGUAACUAUGCACGUCUUGACGGUACCUAAUCAGAAAGCCACGGCUAACUACGUG